CGUGCAUGGUGGGGUCCCUCGGCCUGGCCUGUGCCCUCUCGCAAUUCAGGACCCUGUGGGGGAUGUCCGUAGGCCAGGCUGAGGGACCCCACCAGUGCACA
rfam:Myotis lucifugus cont2.27049, whole genome shotgun sequence.